CACACCUCAUAUUUACCUACUCAGCCCCAAAAAGCAUUGAACUCGGGUUCUCAACCCCACCUAGCUCUCCUACUAACUCGGGCAGUCAGCAAUAAUAAUAGUUACCGUUUAUAGUGUGUGCAUGCCAAGUGUGGAUACCAUUUUAAAUGUGUUAUCUCAGUUUGUGCUUACAACAGGAAGUAGAGUUCUUGUCACUUUUAUAGAUCAGGAAACUGGAGCAAAGGAAGUUAAGUAAGCUGCUCAAGGCCUCACAGCUAAUCAGUGAGUGGCAAAGCCAGGAUUCAAACUCACAAUCUGACUCCAGAGCUGACUUGGAACACUUACGCCAUCUACAGAGUGACUAUGAGCUUUAACGGCAAUGUCAGCCCCCCUUAAAGCCAGCAGCUUCCCCAUCCCUGCCUUGAAGGAAGUCAUGUUCAACUACAAGCACAACAAUUCAAUUUUUAACCUUGUAUCCUUCCCAAUAACUAAAACAUCUUAGGAAGUGAUCUUUCCCUUUAUUGUUCUUUCUCCACACUUUUUUUUUUCUCCAAAUUUAACCAUCUGAGACACCUGGAGCAUAGCAGAGUGCCAGGUCUGAAGUUGUACACACCUGGACGGAGCCCCAAAUCCACUACUUACUGGCCAGGUCCUUGUUUUCUCUAAGCUUCAGUGUCACCAACUCUAAAAUAAGGACAAUGGGGCCUUUCUCACCAGGUGAGUGGAGAUAUUAGGUUGGAUGCUAUCUUCAGUGCCUAACAGUAUUUCAUGUAUAAUAGGGGCUGGCUAAUAAUUGUUAGGAUAAUAAAAGUUAUCAUUACCUAAGUGGUUGAAUAUUUCUGGACCACAUGAACCUCUGUCAGGGGGAAAAAUAAUUUUUGCAAUGGUUUGGAAACUGAAAUUAGAAAAUGAGAUCAUCAUGGAGAUCAAUUUCUACGAAGGAGAAGUAGGUUGUCUUUGAAGUCAGUGAAUUCCGUGUACUCAAGCUACUCCAACUCUGACAGCUCUGAAAGUCUAUGCAUUUAUUUCAAGGGUGCUCUGCUAGUCAGGUGCAUGGCUAUAAUCUCAAUGCUCUGGGAGACUGAGGCAGGAAGAUCUCAAAUUCAAUCCCUGAGACUUAGUGAAACCCUCCCUCAAAAUAAGAAAAGGGGUUGGGAAUGUAGUUCAGUGCAAAGGUCCUAGGUUCAAUCCCUAGUACCAGCCCCCAAAAGAAAAAUCCCCAUGGUCUGAUUCUUCCUAUUCUUUGAGCUGGUAGAGGUUUUGAUGCCAUUUUUCCACAUGAACCAGGGGACCUAUUCAUCUGUAGGUGCUGGUGACAGGUGACCUGAUUGUUCUGCAACUGCGACCCAAGACAUGCAAGAUGCCAAAGCUUUCCAUGGCAUUGAUACUCCAGUGUCCGCAGUCUAUUUCCUCUCUUUCUUUGUGUUCAGUCCGCCCAGAAGGGGACACACGGUUUCGUUCACUACGCCAACACUGACCAAGUCUGUUCUAAAACACUGGGGGCCUCACAAGAGAAGCAAUAACUGGCUCAAGGUGAGGGCGCAUACUGGGGCCUUCUGAGGGGAAGAGAUGGGUCCCAGGGGACGCAAGCUUGCUAACCAAGAUAGCUGAAAUUCUGCUUCGAGGCUGCCUUAUCACUUGUCCCUGUUCACUCCUUGUCUGAGCAAGUCUUGCUCAUCUUUCAAGCUUUGUUUUGUCUGCUUUUUGUGGCACUGGGGAUUGAACUUAGGGCUUUCACACUGAGCUACAUCCCCAGCCCUUUUUUAAUUGUUUUACUUUGACUCAGGGUCUCGCUGAGCUGCUAAGUUGCCCAGGCUGGGUUUGAACUUGCAGUCCUCCUACUGAGUCUCCUAGGUGCUGGUAUUAUAGACAGCUGAGUUAUGUAGAAAUGAAGGUGCAGUCAGAGGAAGUCAGAACAAAAGAUAAGACCCACAGUGAUUGUGACUGGAGGCAAAUCUGAAGAAGAGUCAGGCCUCAAGACAGAGACGUAACAGCCAGGCCUGCGGGCCUCCCUGGAGAUAAACUACAACUUAGAUUAUUCUGUGAUGAGCACCACCUGGUCCAAUGAGCCCAGAGAGGCAUCAGACACAUAGGUGGGCAACCAGAACAUCUGGACCCAUCCCUUCCCAAGAAAGCCUUUGUCCCCUCCAUACACGCUCAGUACGUGACUUGUUUCCCUAUUGGAUCAAUACUAGCUAAGCGCUAUACUCGUAAACAAAGAACCUCAUGGCCACCCACUUGGGGCCCCUCCGGGAAAUCCAGGCGCUGUUCUUUUUCUCUAUUUCCAACAAAGCUCUCCUAACUUCUCCUUUGGUCCUCAACUUCAUUCCUCGAUGUUGUGGGACCACCAGCUCAGCACAUCUGACAUCUGGCAGGCUGGAAGUCCUGGGAUCACAGGCCUGCACCACCACGCUAGGCUCCCCCUGCAGGUUUUAUCUGAAAGCUCUGAGCGCCUCCUUUCAGGGCUCUGCAAUUAGCCAGAGAGCAAACGCUGUGGCAGACCCCACACGGCCAGCAGCUGGAGGCCUCAACUAACUGCACUUCUCAGGGCAGUUUCUCUCUCACAGCGAGAGAGGAGCAGGGCUUCAUGCAGAAUGCUGUGAGUGUUCGUUUUUCCUCUUUCUGUGAAUCUCGCCUCCUGAAUGAUUUCCAGGCACAGAGACACUGGGUUAAAGGAACAAUGGAGACAGAGUUGUGGCUCUCGCACAGACAGCCAGCUCGCCCUGCACAGGAACCUGGCUCAGGAAGCAGUGCGCUGGUCUUCCCGGUCCUUCCUGGUCCUUCCUGUCCUCUGAUUGGACCCAGAUGUGGAGCAGUUGACUGCCUGACCAAUCCGAGCGUGAGCUGGCCAAGCAGGAGGGCAGGGACGGAGUGACGCCGCCACUCACAAAUGCAGGUGCCGAGCCAGACAGCAGGUGCGUGACCAAGGAAGAGGAGACCCACCCUGUGUAUGUCAUGCUAAUUGUGACACUUUCCGGGUCACAGUGCAGCCAGCAAUACUGUCCCUCUGUGCCCUUUGUAUUCCUGGAGGAAGGAGCUUCUCAGGCUGGCGACUUCUGCGGCUGUCCUGCCCUCUGCUGGCCAGCGAGGCUGACGCACCGCGGAGCUCCACACGUCCAGGAUGACGCCAACUGCUUACCACUAGGGAAGACUUAACUUCUCAAGACUAUUACAUUUUAAAACAGAGACUCAGUCGUUUUCUGACCAGCAUCUGUAAUGGCUCCGUGAACUCUCUCAUGCCGGAGGCCCUUCAGUCUCAUGCGUUCUGGCUGAAGUGAAGAUGGAGACGUGGAGUAGGAAUGUCACGUGACACAAGCUGCAUGGGGAAGUCAUACUUCUUCGAGGUCACAGGGCCUCGAGUCUGAUUUUGAAGGCUACGAAUUCCUCAUGCUGUGGCCCCAGAACAAUGAGGGGAUGUACACGGGUCCCAGCUGACCCGCCCAGCCUCACCCUCCGCAAAUGCUGCCCAGGGCUGGUAACAAAGGGCCCUCACAGUUUUCCCUGCCCUCCGCCUACUGGCAUCUGAUCCCAGUCAGCAAAUGUUUAGCUACUGUUCAGUCAAAACAUGUUUAUUUUCUCUUGGAUCCACAGCUAAGAAUUGUCCACCAACCUGCUGUAGGCCCCGGGAAGAGGCUGUCACCGAAUAUGAGUUCCAGGCUCCUUUCAAUGUUUAAUGCCAUGGCUCCUAGGUCACUAAGUGAGGGGCUUGGGGAGCGUGAGGGGAAGCAGCUGACCAGCUCGCUGCCUAGGAAGGGACCCCAGCAGGGAGGGAGACAAGCGUGACUGUGUUCCCAGGUAACAGCUUUCCCUCUAGCAAGUAACCCACCUCCAGGUUCCUUGGGGUAAAUCCAUCAGACCUUUAAAUAAAAGCACAAACAGCUUUAUUUUCGAUGAAAAUAGAGGUUAGAAGAACCCAUUGGCUUGAGAGAGCACAAGGCUUGGGUGCCAAUCCAAACGUGGAGCAACUCAUGGAGCCCACUGCACAGGAAGGACACAGGGCUCCCUCCGGGCCUCUCAUACCCGACAGUGCCAGCCCGGAGGUUUGUGUGACUGUGCUGCUGCAUGCACAGGGCAGGGGACUCAGGGAAGACAGCCUCGGAGCAGGAGGGCUCGGCUGCUGAAACGGAGGGCGGAGCUUCUAGUCCAGACCUCCAGAUGUCUGGGACAGUGCCUCUCACUGGACAGCACCCUCUCCCCCUGCCACCCAGUCUACCCGGAGCAGCCCCAUAGCCUUCUUCUACUGCAAAUGCCCGAGGAGGGGUAGACCUCAGCACCCUGCUCCUGGCCAGGAAGGAGAGACAGCAAGUGCAGUCAGCGGAGGGACUGUGCUUGGAGGCAUCAGAGCACCUCAGGUGGAAUGCUGGCGCUGAGGCGUGUGUGCUAACUGUGUCUUUGGGCCCCUUGCCUGACUUUUCUGGCUUCUGGUUACUGAGUGUCCAAAACGAAAAUGCUAAGAGGGUAAAAUGGUAUCAUUAAGCGCAAAGCCCAGGCUCCUUCGGAGCAGUUGCUAAUGUCAAGGAGAGAGCUCCAGGCCUGGGGUGCCCGGAGCUGCCCUGCCCAGCCCGGCACUAGGGCUCUGCCUGGGUAGAAGCACCCCAGGCUUUACCUAGAGCUCCCCCAGCCCCACUGUGGAGAUCAACCCAGAGUGAGGGUCCCGCGCUCCACCUCAGGCUGGCCCAUGGAGAGGGAGGGCCCCCACUUCGCAGACCGGGAAGGAAGUUUCUUCCUGGAUGUGCCCUGGGCCAGCUCACUGUCAGCUUUAGCCCAACGUUUGCAAAUUGCAGAAGCAGGACUCUUCCUGCAGCCUGCAGCCAGGAUCGAGUGAGAGACCAAAAAUAUUAGGUUCUCAGUAAACACAAGAGCUGAGCUCUGAGGGCCUCAGGCUGUGGGCCUCCCAGCACCCCUCCCCGCACAACCCAAAGCCCGAGUCUGUCUGGGUUUCGAUGCCACUCGUUCCUGAUGCUGUCCUCGUACAUCUCCCCUGUGGAGAGGAGUCAGGCGGGCACUGCUCACCGAUGAGGCCCGUAUCGCUGAUCACCACCCGAGUCUGGGUGUAUUUCUGUCACAAGCCACGGGGGAGCUGAUGGGCAGCUGCUCAGGUGAAUUCUCCCCAGCUAUGGGCAUGUACCUGGGUCCUAUGUGGCUUUUUUUGUUGUUUUGGUUUUGAUUUUGUACUGGGGACCAAACCUUUGCACUGAGCUACAUCCCUAGCCC